CAGUCGCCACGGUAAUACGUAGGUCCCGAGCGUUGUCCGGAUUUAUUGGGCGUAAAGCGAGCGCAGGCGGUUUGAUAAGUCUGAAGUUAAAGGCUGUGGCUCAACCAUAGUUCGCUUUGGAAACUGUCAAUCUUGAGUGCAGAAGGGGAGAGUGGAAUUCCAUGUGUAGCGGUGAAAUGCGUAGAUAUAUGGAGGAACGCCGGUGGCGAAAGCGGCUCUCUGGUCUGUAACUGACGCUGAGGCUCGAAAGCGUGGGGAGCGAACAGGAUUAGAUACCCGCGUAGUCCCUGUCUCUUAUACA
rnacentral:rRNA from 1 species